CCCAUCUAUUAUGUCGUUAGGAGCAGGCUCAAGGUCUAGAGUCUUGUCAUCUAAAUCAGGUUUAGCUGUGGAUGAGGCUCCUCUGGUGCAGUGCAUUGGGUACAGUUCUUUGAGUACUAUUGCCCUUAAUUUAAAGGCCAGUUACCUAAACAGGUAAGUUAUUUCUCCUCCUUACAUAAUGAAGCAAACAAAGAUAAUUGCUAAAAGAACUUCACCCUGACAACCCACAUCCCAUGUUGAGCAAUGGGGUAACUGGGACAGGAGAUGUGAUCCUGAUACCGCAACAUUUGUUCCCAAUUUGGAGGAGUUUAUUUGAGAGGUUCCAUCCCUUAAUCUUUGUUUGGAAGACUUUGGUAUGUGUGUUACUUUAUGCACACUCAGCCACCUAAAGCUCAAAAGUUUCUUUCCAGAUCCGUGCUCCCGGUAUCCCAGUCAAGUUGGGUGAAUUCUCCCCUGAAAUUCUUCCAUCACUCCUGAAGCAAAGAGGCAAGCCUUGAUGAAACAAAAGGAGCCCAAGUUUUGAGAUCAGACAGACUUGGGUUUGAAUCUCAACACUAUCCCUUCCUGGCUGUGUGACUUUGGAUAAGACCCGUGAACUCCCUGAACCUGAGCUGCAACCGUAAGCCAGAACACAUAUAAAGUGCUGAAUAAAUGGCAGCUGUCAGAAUUCUUAUUUAAUAUGUGCAUCCCAUUGGGUUGUACAUUUCUGCUGAUGCAUCAUUUUUUUCUGAGAUUCCCCAAGGCUGGACUGUGUCUUGUUCAACUUUGUCUUCGCAGUGCCCCUUGAUAAGUAUAAGAAUGCGCUAAGAGUUGGAAGCAUGAAUAAAUCAUCUUGUACUUUUUUGA